rnacentral:ncRNA from 1 species
AAAACGGCCCUUUUCAGGGCCACUAACAAUAGAUUAUAAUAACUG